AGGACUAACGCUGGCGGAAUGCCUCAUACAUGCAGGUCGAACGGCCCUUCGGGGUAGUGGCGGACGGGUGAGUAAUACGUAGGUAACGUACCCUGUACUGGGGGACAACAGAGGGAAACCUCUGCUAAUACCGCAUCAGACCUCGGGUGAAACUCCCGAUGUUUAAAGCCUUGUGCGGUACAGGAUCGGCCUGCGUCGGAUUAGCUUGUUGGUAGGUAAAAGCCUACCGAAGGCUACGAUCCGUAACUGGUCUGAGAGGAUGACCAGUCACAGUGGGACUGAGACACGGCCCACACUCCGUACGGGAGCAGCAGUAGGGAAUGUUGCGACAAGUGGGACGAAAGCCGUAGACGC
rnacentral:rRNA from 1 species